GACCUCGUGGCCGAGUGGAUAAGGCACUGGAUUUCUGAUCCAAGGUUCGCAGGUUCGAAUCCUGCCGCGGUCC
rnacentral:tRNA from 1 species